rnacentral:lncRNA from 1 species
GUACGCCACUUUGGCUUGCAAAUGAUCACUUUUGCUAUUUUCGAGGCCAAACUGGAAUGCUGGAGUUCUAAAUUCUGCGUAUCCCUUCUUGCAUGUGUCUUGUUGUCGACUUGCGCCAUCUUUCCCUGUGUUUCAGGCCUCACAAGAUUAAAACUUGGUAAGAAAGUAGACACGGAAGUGUGUCUCUGUCCAGUUCCACCUAAACUGUGCUGGCAGAAACUUUGGCUCCUGCUGCUUAGCUCCUUCAGCGACCUGCGAGUCUGUCUCACGAAAAGAUACCGACCGCCAUCUUGAAUUUCUAAGCACUAAACACGAAGAGAUAUGCUUCAGACCCUCUGAGCCCCUUUGUCUGCGUGGAACGGGUCUCUAGUCGCGGGUGGACAAAGCGUAGGAUGAGUGACAAACAGACGCACACAGGAGAGGUCGAGGAAUCUGAAUGUCAUUUUUCAAAUCGAGCAUCAGACUUUUUAUGCAGAAGACAAUAAGGAAGUUGGAUGACAUACCUGCAAGCUUUCCCAGAUAUCUCUGAAGAUACCAUUUUGAAUAGGACUCACAUCACUCACUGCCUUGGUAGGGUCAUCUUUGUUCCACAAGAGGAAAACUGUCCACGAGAGGGUGGAGAUCACUCUGGCCAUGCAUAAUCAGAUUAACAUCAACGGUCCUUUACUCUGAAGAAGCCAUGGAGACCCCUCUUGCUGAUUAAGCCAGCUCAGGCUCCUGUGGAUGCUAUGGCCCUGGGCACUGAGCCCAGCAUCUGAACUUGUUCCUGGACCAGAGGUUCGAGAUGUCCACUUCUGAGGCCAUUUACUUCUUUGUGGGCCACCAGCUGUU